rnacentral:rRNA from 1 species
AGGUUGAACGCUGGCGGCAUGCCUUACACAUGCAAGUCGAACGGCAGCGCGGGGGCAACCCUGGCGGCGAGUGGCGAACGGGUGAGUAAUAUAUCGGAACGUGCCCUGGAGUGGGGGAUAACGUAGCGAAAGUUACGCUAAUACCGCAUACGAUCUAAGAAUGAAAGUGGGGGAUCGCAAGACCUCAUGCUCCUGGAGCGGCCGAUAUCUGAUUAGCUAGUUGGUAGGGUAAAAGCCUACCAAGGCAUCGAUCAGUAGCUGGUCUGAGAGGACGACCAGCCACACUGGGACUGAGACACGGCCCAGACUCCUACGGGAGGCAGCAGUGGGAAUUUUGGACAAUGGGGGCAACCCUGAUCCAGCAAUGCCGCGUGAGUGAAGAAGGCUUCGGUUGUAAAGCUCUUUGUCAGGAGAACGUCUUCUAAUAUAGAGGACUAAUGACGGUACCUAGAAGAAGUAAGCAACCGGACUAACUACGUGACCAGUACAGCCGUA